rnacentral:rRNA from 1 species
UCGCGGGGCAGCGGGGGAUGUAGCAAUACAUUCUGCCGGCGACCCGUACAAGGGUGCGUAACGCGUGAGCAACAUGCCCGUCUCACGUGGAUAACCGGUGGAAACGCCGCCUAAUACCCCAUGGCGAUAUAUUGAGGCAUCUUGAUAUAUCUAAAGCUCCGGCGGAGACGGAUUGGCUCGCGUGACAUUAGCUGGACGGCGGGGUAACGGCCCACCGUGGCUACGAUGUCUAGGGGUUCUGAGAGGAAGGUCCCCCACACUGGAACUGAGACACGGUCCAGACUCCUACGGGAGGCAGCAGUGAGGAAUAUUGGUCAAUGGGCGGGAGCCUGAACCAGCCAUGCCGCGUGAAGGCGAGUGCCCUACGGGCGUUAAACUUCUUUUGUGCGGGAGCAAUAAGGGCCACGCGUGGCCCGAUGAGAGUACCGCACGAAUAAGCAUCGGCUAACUCCGUGCCAGCAGCCGCGGUAAUACGGGGGAUGCGAGCGUUAUCCGGAUUUAUUGGGUUUAAAGGGUGCGUAGGCGGCGCUUCAGGUCAGCGGUGAAAUACCGGGGCUCAACCCCGGGGCUGCCGU